UACGUAGGGACCGAGCGUUGUCCGGAUUCAUUGGGCGUAAAGAGCUCGUAGGCGGCCACUCAAGUCGAAUGUGAAACCUCGAGGCUUAACCUCGAGCCUGCAUUCGAUACUGGGCGGCUAGAGUCUGGUAGGGGGAUCUGGAAUUCCUGGUGUAGCGGUGGAAUGCGCAGAUAUCAGGAGGAACACCGGUGGCGAAGGCAAUCCCCUGGGCCUGCACUGACGCUCAUGCACGAAAGCGUGGGGAGCAAACAGG
rnacentral:rRNA from 1 species